AGAGUUUGAUCCUGGCUCAGGAUGAACGCUAGCGACAGGCUUAACACAUGCAAGUCGAGGGGCAGCGGGGAGGUAGCAAUACUUCCGCCGGCGACCGGCGCACGGGUGAGUAACACGUAUGGAACCUGCCCGUAGCAGGGGGAUAAGCGGAAGAAAUUCCGUCUAAUACCGCGUAAUAAUUCCGAGAGGCAUCUCAUGGGGUUUAAAGGGUAAUACCGGCUACGGAUGGCCAUGCGGCGCAUUAGCUAGUUGGCGGGGUAACGGCCCACCAAGGCGACGAUGCGUAGGGGUUCUGAGAGGAAGGUCCCCCACACUGGUACUGAGACACGGACCAGACUCCUACGGGAGGCAGCAGUGAGGAAUAUUGGUCAAUGGGCGCGAGCCUGAACCAGCCAAGUCGCGUGAGGGAAGACGGUCCUAUGGAUUGUAAACCUCUUUUGUCGGGGAGCAAAAGACGUCACGUGUGGCGUUCCGAGAGUACCCGAAGAAAAAGCAUCGGCUAACUCCGUGCCAGCAGCCGCGGUAAUACGGAGGAUGCGAGCGUUAUCCGGAUUUAUUGGGUUUAAAGGGUGCGUAGGCGGACGCUUAAGUCAGCGGUAAAAUUGCGGGGCUCAACCUCGUCGAGCCGUUGAAACUGGGUGCCUUGAGUGGGCGAGAAGUACGCGGAAUGCGUGGUGUAGCGGUGAAAUGCAUAGAUAUCACGCAGAACUCCGAUUGCGAAGGCAGCGUACCGGCGCCCAACUGACGCUGAAGCACGAAGGCGUGGGUAUCGAACAAGAUUAGAUACCCUGGUAGUCCACGCAGUAAACGAUGAAUGCUGGCUGUCGGGGGGGAUUGACCCCUGGGUGGGGAAACCGAAAGCGAUAAGCAUUCCACCUGGGGAGUACGCCCGGCAACGGUGAAACUCAAAGGAAUUGACGGGGGCCCGCACAAGCGGAGGAACAUGUGGUUUAAUUCGAUGAUACGCGAGGAACCUUACCCGGGCUCAAACGGGGAGUGACUCAGGCAGAGACGCCUGUUUCCCACGGGACACUCCCCGAGGUGCUGCAUGGUUGUCGUCAGCUCGUGCCGUGAGGUGUCGGCUUAAGUGCCAUAACGAGCGCAACCCCCGCGUGCAGUUGCUAACAGAUAACGCUGAGGACUCUGCACGGACUGCCGGCGCAAGCCGCGAGGAAGGCGGGGAUGACGUCAAAUCAGCACGGCCCUUACGUCCGGGGCGACACACGUGUUACAAUGGGUGGUACAGCGGGAAGCCAGGCGGCGACGCCGAGCGGAACCCGAAAUCCACUCUCAGUUCGGAUCGGAGUCUGCAACCCGACUCCGUGAAGCUGGAUUCGCUAGUAAUCGCGCAUCAGCCAUGGCGCGGUGAAUACGUUCCCGGGCCUUGCACUCACCGCCCGUCA
rnacentral:rRNA from 1 species